UACAGAGGUCCCAAGCGUUGUUCGGAUUCACUGGGCGUAAAGGGUGCGUAGGUGGUUGAAUAAGUUUGAUGUGAAAUCUCCGAGCUUAACUCGGAAACUGCAUUGAAUACUGUUUGACUAGAGGAUUGGAGGGGGGACUGGAAUUCUCGGUGUAGCAGUGAAAUGCGUAGAUAUCGAGAGGAACACCAGUGGCGAAGGCGAGUCCCUGGACAACUCCUGACACUGAGGCACGAAAGCUAGGGGAGCAGACAGG
rnacentral:rRNA from 1 species